UAUGUGAUCGUCUCUCGCAUAUCAAUAAGCGGAGGAAAAGAAACUAACAAGGAUUCCCCUAGUAACGGCGAGUGAAGCGGGAAGAGCUCAAAUUUGAAAUCUUAAAGGGUUUCCCUUUACGAAUUGUAGUUUAAAGAAGUGUUUUCUGUUGAGGUUUUGGUAAAAGUUCUUUGGAAUAGGACAUCAUAGAGGGUGAGAAUCCCGUAUUUGACCUUUACUUUCAACUUUGUGAUACACUUUCAAAGAGUCGGAUUGUUUGGGAAUGCAGUCCAAAAUGGGUGGUAAAUUUCAUCUAAAGCUAAAUAUUGGCGAGAGACCGAUAGCGAACAAGUACCGUGAGGGAAAGAUGAAAAGAACUUUGAAAAGAGAGUUAAACAGUACGUGAAAUUGUCAAAAGGGAAGCGUUUGACACCAGUGUUGUUUUUCUGAAAAUCAAUUAAAGAACUGUUUAUGCUAAGCUGUUUAGACUUUAUCAGCUAACUGUUUAGUUUUGAGCUUUUCUUUAAUGCACUUUUCAGUUAACAAGUCAACAUCAAUUUCUUUUGCUGUAAAAAAGCUUGAGGAAGGUGGCUUGAGAUUCGUCUUAAGUGUUUAUAGCCUCUUGCCUAUGCAGUCGGAGAGACUUGAGGUCUGCAGCGUAGAUCCUUCGGGGCUAAAUGCAUUUGUGCUAAGUUAUAGCAUUUUAUAGACAACUUGUUGACUAUGAUUUGUCUUGUAGCUUACUCGCUUAUGUUAUUUUACCUACGCUUAGGAUGUUGAAGAUAUGCGCGACACG
rnacentral:rRNA from 1 species